UGGGGGAUAUUGCACAAUGGGCGAAAGCCUGAUGCAGCGACGCCGCGUGGGGGAUGAAGGCUUUCGGGUUGUAAACCUCUUUCGCUAUCGAACAAGGCCCGCUUAGGGUGGGUUGAGGGUAGGUGGAGAAGAAGCGCCGGCUAACUACGUGCCAGCAGCCGCGGUAAUACGUAGGGCGAGCGUUGUCCGGAAUUAUUGGGCGUAAAGGGCUUGUAGGCGGCUUGUUGCGCCUGCUGUGAAAACGCGGGGCUUAACUUCGCGCGUGCAGUGGGUACGGGCAGGCUUGAGUGUGGUAGGGGUGACUGGAAUUCCAGGUGUAGCGGUGGAAUGCGCAGAUAUCUGGAGGAACACCGAUGGCGAAGGCAGGUCACUGGGCCAUUACUGACGCUGAGGAGCGAAAGCAUGGGUAGCGAACAGG
rnacentral:rRNA from 1 species